CAAAGCGAUCGUUCCGUGA
rnacentral:miRNA from 1 species